rnacentral:rRNA from 1 species
AUUGAACGCUGGCGGCAUGCUUUACACAUGCAAGUCGAACGGCAGCGCGGGCCUCGGCCUGGCGGCGAGUGGCGAACGGGUGAGUAAUGCAUCGGAACGUGCCCAGUAGUGGGGGAUAGCCCGGCGAAAGCCGGAUUAAUACCGCAUACGACCUGAGGGUGAAAGCGGGGGACCGAAAGGCCUCGCGCUAUUGGAGCGGCCGAUGUCGGAUUAGCUAGUUGGUGGGGUAAAGGCUUACCAAGGCGACGAUCCGUAGCUGGUCUGAGAGGACGACCAGCCACACUGGGACUGAGACACGGCCCAGACUCCUACGGGAGGCAGCAGUGGGGAAUUUUGGACAAUGGGGGCAACCCUGAUCCAGCCAUGCCGCGUGCGGGAAGAAGGCCUUCGGGUUGUAAACCGCUUUUGUUCGGGAAGAAAUCCUCUGGGCUAAUACCCCGGGGGGAUGACGGUACCGGAAGAAUAAGCACCGGCUAACUACGUG